UACGGGAGGGGGCAGCUUGUUCGGAAUUACUGGGCGUAAAGGGUCGUGUGGCUCACUAAGUCAUACGUGAAAUCCCUCGGCUUAACCGGGGAACUGCGUCUGAUACUGGAUGGCUUGAGUUCGGGAGAGGGAUGCGGAAUUCCAGGUGUAGCGGUGAAAUGCGUAGAUAUCAGGAGGAACACCUGUGGUGUAGACGGCUCUCUGGACCGCAACUGACGCUGAGACACGAAAGCGUGGGUAGCAAACAGG
rnacentral:rRNA from 1 species